CCUACGGGCGGCAGCAGUGGGGAAUAUUGGACAAUGGGGGCAACCCUGAUCCAGCCAUGCCGCGUGUGUGAAGAAGGCCCUCGGGUUGUAAAGCACUUUCAGUGAGGAAGAACGCCUGGUGGUUAAUACCCAUCAGGAAAGACAUCACUCACAGAAGAAGCACCGGCUAACUCCGUGCCAGCAGCCGCGGUAAUACGGAGGGUGCGAGCGUUAAUCGGAAUUACUGGGCGUAAAGCGCGCGUAGGUGGCUUGAUAAGCCGGUUGUGAAAGCCCCGGGCUCAACCUGGGAACGGCAUCCGGAACUGUCAAGCUAGAGUGCAGGAGAGGAAGGUAGAAUUCCCGGUGUAGCGGUGAAAUGCGUAGAGAUCGGGAGGAAUACCGGUGGCGAAGGCGGCCUUCUGGACUGACACUGACACUGAGGUGCGAAAGCGUGGGUAGCAAACAGGAUUAGAUACCCGGGUAGUC
rnacentral:rRNA from 1 species